UGAAUACUCUCUACUACAACCAAGGACUGCUCAUUGGUGGUGCUCACUUCUCCAGCAACUACCAAUAUCAAAUUUUCUCGCAAAUAAAUACAGUUGAAGGGGACAGCAGAAGGAGAUUAACUGAGAAUGAAAGGGAAGAAAAAAGAAGGCCUAUAAAUCCAUGGAUGACAGACAGAUAGAAAAUAUCACCCUCCUGCUGACAAGUGUUCAUCACUCUCUGGCUGCAAUUAAUGUGCUUGCCGGAGGCCAACAAUAUGUUGCAUACAAGAACUACACCACAGAAGAAUCUUGAGCGUGUCAGAAGAAGCAGGUCUAAACAUCAGAUAUCAAUACUGAUCACCCCAAACAAACACGUACAAGCCACAAACAGGCAUAGAUCUGUAGUCUAUGUAUAGUGCACUGAGCUCAGGCACAUGUUUUAUCAACUUAAUGGGGCCAGCACCUUGGUUUAGAAGACAGAGCACAUAACACCUGGAUGAGCCAAACGGGCAUGCACUGGGAUGAUCUAAUGCCAUGGUUCACAGCAUGGGUGACAGCACUGGAGCUGCCUGAUGCCCUCAUUAUUCAGCUUAUUGAAAAUGAUCUGGUAAAGAAGAAAUACAUAGACCUCAUCUGGGCAACAGCUGCAGAUCUCAAGGCCUUCAUAUGGCACACCCAAGCUUGUCUAUUUUGGAGUCCAGGUACUUGGAGUGGUGGCAGUGGCACGGAGCAUCAGAACUGUUGCUAUCAAUCUUGCCUGGAAGAAGGUGAACAUCGCAAUGUCCUGCUUGGUAUCCUGGUUAGAUGAGUGCAUUGUUUGGCAUCCUGCUAUCACUUAUGACAAAAUGGACUUGUAUUGAUGAAAUGGCUUGUACCUAUCACCAACAAGCAAUGAGGCCAGGCUGAUGAACAUCUACUGGAGCCUCUGGGACUGGUUGCAGAUGUGAGCGGUUGGGCAGCAAGCUGGCAUGGAGGGGCCAACUCAUGUGGCAGAAAAAGGCACUUGGUUGGAUCCUUAGUCUAAAGGUAUGGGGUAGGUAGGUGCCCAACCCACCGAUCCAGGAUCAAAAUUCAGGGAACCUCAGUAACGGGGUCCAGUGGUUGGGUUCAGACUGAAAGCCCAGACAUGGGCCAACAGGCCACAGAACACCCCAGAUGUCAUAUUGGCAGGAUCAUCCUACAGAUUUACAUCAUAGAGGAUCCUUAACCACAGGAUCGACCCUGAUGGAGUUAUCAGCCAGCAGUUGGGUUGGCUGAUUCAGGAUACAUACCCAAUGCCUAUGCUGAAACCGACCUACAUCUGUAAUCAAUAAAGUUGUGGCCAUUUUGAUCCCAAGCUGGUGUCUCACCAUUUUUUGCUGCUUCUACACUU